rnacentral:rRNA from 1 species
UACGUAGGGUGCGAGCGUUGUCCGGAAUUACUGGGCGUAAAGGGCGCGCAGGCUGUUAUGCGAGUCUGCUGUGAAAUGUACCGGCUCAACCGGUGCCUUGCGGCGGAUACUGCAUAGCUGGAGUACUGGAGAGGGAAGUGGAAUUCCCGGUGUAGCGGUGAAAUGCAUAGAUAUCACGAGGAACUCCGAUUGCGCAGGCAGCUUACUAAACUACUACUGACGCUCAGGCACGAAGGCGUGGGGAUCAAACA